rnacentral:rRNA from 1 species
GACGUAGGGCGCGAGCGUUGUCCGGAUUUAUUGGGCGUAAAGAGCUCGUAGGCGGCUUGUUAAGUCAGGGGUGAAAUCCUGGAGCUCAACUCCAGAACUGCCUUUGAUACUGGCGAGCUUGAGUUCGGGAGAGGUGAGUGGAACUGCGAGUGUAGAGGUGAAAUUCGUAGAUAUUCGCAAGAACACCAGUGGCGAAGGCGGCUCACUGGCCCGAUACUGACGCUGAGGUGCGAAAGCGUGGGGAGCAAACAGGG